AUUGAACGCUGGCGGCGUGCCUAACACAUGCAAGUCGAGCGGUAACAGGUGUAGCAAUACAUGCUGACGAGCGGCGAACGGGUGAGUAAUGCUUCGGAAUCUACCCAAUGGUGGGGAAUAACCAGCCGAAAGGUUGGCUAAUACCGCAUACGUCCCACGGGAGAAAGCAGGGGAUCGCAAGACCUUGCGCCAAUGGAUGAGCCGAAGUCGGAUUAGCUAGUGGUAGGGUAACGGCCUACCAAGGCGACGAUCCGUAGCUGGUCUGAGAGGACGACCAGCCACACUGGGACUGAGACACGGCCCAGACUCCUACGGGAGGCAGCAGUGGGGAAUAUUGGACAAUGGGGGAAACCCUGAUCCAGCGACGCCGCGUGUGUGAAGAAGGCCUGCGGGUU
rnacentral:rRNA from 1 species